rnacentral:misc_RNA from 1 species
GAAGCACUGAGGGGAGCCGAAGCUCCCCUCAAAGCGUUGUUGCCUGCUCUUUUUUUUAUUAUUGGAGACUGGCCUGUUGUUGUUUUUGUCAGCCAUUGCCUCGGUAGUGCGGGUGGCCCCCACUCGGGGCACAAGAGCAAACGUAUUUUUUUGAGCGCUGACCUGCUUUCAUCAUUGCUGAUCCGAUGCUGACUGCCGCUACCUUGCAGGUAGUU